UUCCGGUUGAUCCUGCCGGACCUGACUGCUAUCGGAUUGAUACUAAGCCAUGCGAGUCAUUGUAGCAAUACAAGGCAGACGGCUCAGUAACGCGUAGUCAACCUACCCUAUGGACGGGGAUAACCUCGGGAAACUGAGUAUAAUACCAGAUAGAACAUUAUGCCUGGAAUGGUUUAUGUUCCAAAUGAUUUAUUGCCAUAGGAUGGGACUGCGGCCUAUCAGUUUGUUGGUGAGGUAAUGGCCCACCAAGACUAUUACAGGUACGGGCUCUGAGAGGAGUGGCCCGGAGAUGGGUACUGAGACACGGACCCAGGCCCUAUGGGGCGCAGCAGGCGAGAAAACUUUGCAAUGUGCGAAAGCACGACAAGGUUAAUCCGAGUGGUUUCUGCUAAAGGAACCUUUUGACAGUCCUAAAAGCACUGUUGAAUAAGGGGUGGGCAAGUUCUGGUGUCAGCCGCCGCGGUAAAACCAGCACCUCAAGUGGUCAGGAUGAUUAUUGGGCCUAAAGCAUCCGUAGCCGGCUCUGUAAGUUUUCGGUUAAAUCUGUACGCUUAACGUACAGGCUGCUGGGAAUACUGCAGAUCUAGGGAGUGGGAGAGGUAGACGGUACUCGGGAGGAAGUGGUAAAAUACUUUGAUCUCUCGAUGACCACCUGUGGCGAAGGCGGUCUACCAGAACACGUCCGACGGUGAGGGAUGAAAGCUGGGGGAGCAAACCGGAUUAGAUACCCGGGUAGUCCCAGCUGUAAACUAUGCAAACUCAGUGAUGCACUGGCUUGUGGCCAGUGCAGUGUUGCAGGGAAGCCGUUAAGUUGCCGCCUGGGAAGUACGUCGCAAGUAG
rnacentral:rRNA from 1 species